UACGGAGGGUGCAAGCGUUAUCCGGAUUCACUGGGUUUAAAGGGUGCGUAGGUGGGUCUGUAAGUCCGUGGUGAAAUCUCCGGGCUUAACCCGGAAACUGCCAUUGAUACUAUAGGUCUUGAAUUAUCUGGAGGUGAGCGGAAUAUGUCAUGUAGCGGUGAAAUGCUUAGAUAUGACAUAGAACACCAAUUGCGAAGGCAGCUCACUACGGAUCGAUUGACACUGAGGCACGAAAGCGUGGGGAUCAAACAGG
rnacentral:rRNA from 1 species